rnacentral:rRNA from 1 species
UACGGAGGGUGCAAGCGUUAAUCGGAAUUACUGGGCGUAAAGCGUGCGUAGACGGUUAUUUAAGUCGGGUGUGAAAGCCCCGGGCUCAACCUGGGAAUUGCAUUCGAGACUGAAUAGCUAGGGUACGGUAGAGGGAAGUGGAAUUUCCGGUGUAGCGGUGAAAUGCGUAGAUAUCGGAAGGAACAUCAGUGGCGAAAGCGACUUCCUGGACCAGUACCGACGUCAGGCACGAAAGCGUGGGGAGCAAACAGG